UGGGGAAUAUUGCACAAUGGGGGAAACCCUGAUGCAGCAACGCCGCGUGAGUGAUGACGGCCUUCGGGUUGUAAAGCUCUGUCUUCAGGGACGAUAAUGACGGUACCUGAGGAGGAAGCCACGGCUAACUACGUGCCAGCAGCCGCGGUAAUACGUAGGUGGCAAGCGUUGUUCGGAUUUACUGGGUGUAAAGGGCGCGCAGGCGGGAUAAAAAGUCAAUGGUGAAAUCCGACAGCUUAACUGUAGAACUGCCUUUGAUACUUUUAUUCUUGAGUUCGGGAGAGNGAGACGGAAUUCCAGGUGUAGUGGUGAAAUACGUAGAUAUCUGGAAGAACACCAGUUGCGAAGGCGGUCUCUUGGUCCGACACUGACGCUGAGGCGCGAAAGCGUGAGGAGCAAACA
rnacentral:rRNA from 1 species